UAGGGAAUCUUCGGCAAUGGGGGGAACCCUGACCGAGCAACGCCGCGUGAGUGAAGAAGGUUUUCGGAUCGUAAAGCUCUGUUGUUAAGGAAGAACGAGUGUGAGAAUGGAAAGUUCAUACUGUGACGGUACUUAACCAGAAAGGGACGGCUAACUACGUGCCAGCAGCCGCGGUAAUACGUAGGUCCCGAGCGUUGUCCGGAUUUAUUGGGCGUAAAGCGAGCGCAGGCGGUUAGAUAAGUCUGAAGUUAAAGGCAGUGGCUCAACCAUUGUAGGCUUUGGAAACUGUUUAACUUGAGUGCAGAAGGGGAGAGUGGAAUUCCAUGUGUGGCGGUGAAAUGCGUAGAUAUAUGGAGGAACACCGGUGGCGAAAGCGGCUCUCUGGUCUGUAACUGACGCUGAGGCUCGAAAGCGUGGGGAGCGAACAGGAUUAGAUACCCUGGUAGUCCACGCCGUAAACGAUGAGUGCUAGGUGUUAGGUCCUUUCCGGGGCUUAGUGCCGCAGCUAACGCAUUAAGCACUCCGCCUGGGGAGUACGACCGCAAGGUUG
rnacentral:rRNA from 1 species